UACGUAGGGUGCAAGCGUUGUCCGGAAUUAUUGGGCGUAAAGAGCUCGUAGGCGGUCUGUCGCGUCGGCUGUGAAAACCCGGAGCUCAACUCCGGGCCUGCAGUCGAUACGGGCAAACUGGAGUGUUGCAGGGGAGACUGGAAUUCCUGGUGUAGCAGUGAAAUGCGUAGAUAUCAGGAGGAAUACCGAUGGCGAAGGCAGGUCUCUGGGCUGACACUGACGCUCAUGCACGAAAGCGUGGGGAGCAAACAGG
rnacentral:rRNA from 1 species